rnacentral:lncRNA from 10 species
UUUUAGAGUUGGAAGAGACCAAGGAGUUAAAUUCAUCUAACUCCCAUUCUAUAAGUAUUUCAGAUGACUGCAGUUGUGUCCUCAUCAUCAAUCUCUAAAUGAAGUUACUUGAAGCAAUUCUUGAAACCAUAAUAAUAAUGUCUCCAGAAUUGGUGGAUUCUUGGUCUCACUGACUUCAAGAAUGAAGCCACGGACCCUCGCGGUGAGUGUUAC